rnacentral:rRNA from 1 species
UACGGAGGGUGCGAGCGUUGUCCGGAAUCACUGGGCGUAAAGGGCGCGUAGGCGGCCUGCUAAGUCGAACGUGAAAUCCCCGGGCUCAACCCGGGAACUGCGUCCGAUACUGGUGGGCUUGAAUCCGGGAGAGGGAUGUGGAAUUCCAGGUGUAGCGGUGAAAUGCGUAGAUAUCUGGAGGAACACCGGUGGCGAAGGCGGCAUCCUGGACCGGUAUUGACGCUGAGGCGCGAAAGCCAGGGGAGCAAACGGG